CCAAUAGCGUAUAUUAAAGUUGUUGCAGUUAAAAAGCUCGUAGUUGAAUUUCGGGAUUGACGUGAUGGUCAUGCCUUAAGGGGUAUGAACUGUUACUGUUGAUUUCUCACCUUCUGGAGAAACUUGAUGUCCUUUAUUGGGUGUCUUGCGGAUCCAGGACCUUUACCUUGAAAAAAUUAGAGUGUUUAAAGCAGGCAUUUUUGCUCGAAUACAUUAGCAUGGAAUAAUAGAAUAGGACGGCAUGGUUCUAUUUUGUUGGUUUCUAGGAUCACCGUAAUGAUUAAUAGGGAUAGAUGGGGGCAUUAGUAUUCAAUUGUCAGAGGUGAAAUUCUUGGAUUUAUUGAAGACUAACUACUGCGAAAGCAUUUGCCAAGGAUGUUUUCAUUAAUCAAGAACGAAAGUUAGGGGAUCGAAGACGAUCAGAUACCGUCGUAGUCUUAACCAUAAACUAUGCCGACUAGGAAUCAGACGAUGUUAAUUUUUUAAUGACUCGUUUGGCACCUUACG
rnacentral:misc_RNA from 1 species